CAAAAAAAAAAACAACAACAAAAGACGUUCCAGAAAUGUUAAUUUCAUAUUGAAAAUUAUUUCAGUAAAAUAAAUCUCCUCAAGCACAAAUAGAUGUAAGUAAAAUUAGAUCUGAAUGCAAUUUGAUUAACAGUUGUCAGGGAAAGGGAAAAAUAAUAAGAAUGAUUUCUGCAUUUACAGAAAGUACUAAACAUAUGGACAAUGAGACAAUUCCAGUAAAUUAGCAGCCUGCUUAAUUCAUUAAGAAUUCAUCUCUUGGGUGAUUCCUGAAACUGAAAAUGUUGACAGCCUAUUACCAAAAUCUCUAAUCCUAAUGUGGAGUUGAAGGGUUUUUCUGUUAAGCUCAAUGACUCCUUAGAAUCAGAGAAAAGACAAAUGUUGGCUGCCACCCUGUAGUUUGCCAGAAUGUGUUUUUUGCUAUUAAUUUAUAAGAAUAUAAGGAAGAAUCUUAAUUUAUAAAAGGCCAUGUUGACAUCAGCCUGAUAUCUAAGUUUCUGAGUAAUGGGAUGCCAGAAAUCUAUAAUGCUUUGUCUUUGAAAAGAUUCCGUGUCUACUGCCAGAAAUGAUCACAUACAUUUCUAUUUCCUUUUUUUUAAAAAAAAAUGUAUCUGUGACAUAGCUGCAUGAUAAAAAAUUCUGAGAUUGUGCAAAAUGGGCCUUUCUGGGGAAAAAAAAAAAUAUUAGUUAUGUGAAAUACAGUUGCUUUGCUUUCUUAUUGCUACCAUCUCUAUUAAGCAGCAUUUGCCACAGCCAGAGCCACUGUACAACUAAAAAAAAAAAUCACAGUUGAGGGCUUUUUAUCCUUUUUUAAUUGAUAUCUUUCAUUGCUGAAUGUUUCAAUUUUGUCCUCAUCUAAUUCUCUAUGUUGCUAUGAAUCUUCUGGAUUGUAGCUUUGACUGUGAAUAACAGGGUAGGAGCCAACUCCUUAAUUCAAGUGCAAUUUAAUUUUCAAAUCUAUAGAUAGAGUAGUUGUCAGAAAAAAGUUUGAAAAUUAAUGUAUUUUUCUAUAAAUAAUGCAGUUCUAACUGAUAGUGUAAUCUCCCACAGUAUUAAUCUUUAAUGAUCAACUGUUUUCACAUUUCUCUAGGUCUACUCAGAAUAAAAAUUACAAAAUAGACAAACAGUAUCUGGUAUUCCCCAACUCACCUUUUGUUUAAUGUCUGACAAAUAUCUUCAGCAUAGGAAGACAUUUGGUAAAUUUAAAAACAAACAAACACACAAAAGAAACAGUAAUCCACUCAAAUCAGUAUACUGGAAUUUAAAAUCAAACAUUAGAUAGCACCUAGCACUGCAGUGUAGAUAGAAGCGUCCCUGCAUUUGCGGAAUUACUAGGUUUGAGAAACUCUAAAGAAACCAUUAGGACUUGGUGUUAGGGUAUUUUUUUCUGAAGUUAUUCAGCCCACUGGAAAGUAAUCUCCUGAAGUGAUCAGUACUUUGCUCACUUUGCUGAUUGAGUCAACCUUCCAAACAUAAACAGAAGAAAAUAAAAACCACAGACAGUUUGUAAACCUAACCCCUCCAUAAAUGAGUCAACACAUCCUCUAAGAUACAUUGACUUUCCAUCUCUUCACAUUUAUAGUAGGUACAGAUUGCAAACAGGAAAUUGUUAACUUUGUGGGAGGUGACAUCAACUAUUGAAAAAUCACUCAGACUCCAGUCCUGAGUAAUUACAAAGUACUUCAAAUGUUAAAAUAAAUGUGCAAGUAGGACAGUUGAUUUCUGCUAACCAUGUUGGUAAAUAAAUUAUGGAAGUAUACAACACAAAAGUUUUAGAUAUCAUUUUUUGAUCUUGGGAAAAUCAAGGGUAGAAAAAUGAAGGAAAAAUAUAUUCUUUGAGAACAGACCAUUGUGAGAAAAUUCUAUGUGCUGGCUUCUGUUCUUCUGAAUUCCAGGACAUUUCUAGAUCCUAUGGCAGUGAUUAAAGCCCAAAUGGUAUUUGGACAGUUGAGGACUGUGCUUUGAACAUUUUCCCAAAUUCAAAGGAUUUUACUGUGUGACUAGAAGAUAAAGCGCUUGACUUUUCAAAUCGGGCAAUACAGACUCUACCUUAGAAUACCUUUAAAUCCCUGAGAAAUGUACAUUAAUAGGGUGUGCUGGACAGUGUGCAAGUAAGAGAGAAAAGUGAAGAAAAAGAGAUAAUCAUGUGUGGACAUGAUUUUCUGAGCCUGAGAGAGUUUUCAGCCUGUCAGUGGCUGAUCUGUUCCCAGGGCAAAGUUUCUUGAGAACAGUUUUUCUCCCAAGGACUGUUCUUUGUAAAUAGGUUUUUGGUUCCCAAAGCAAUAUUAUACAGAUGUCCUGAGUGUUUUCACUUGUCCCACCAAUGGGAUGAGAGAGGUGUUGUUCCCUUUACCAAUCAUGUUAAACCUGUAUCAGAACACCUUAUAAAAGGGGCUUAAAAACCCUGAAAUAAAGGCUUCUGCCUUCUUCGGAUGAAAAACCUCUGCAGCUGUGAUUGAAUCCACUCUUCUAUUUCAUGUGCACUAGCAACAAUCAUGUACCUUGAAAAGCCUCUACACAUGACUCCUGGACAUUCAGCUUGUGCACUAAAUGCUGACAAGUGUUGCACAUGCAACACAAAUGCCAUGGCUCUGACACUUUUUAAUAAGGCAGUCCAGCCAAGUAGACCUAGUUUGGAAGAAGCAAGUGCUGCAAUACAUAGUUCUCAGCACCUUUACUUUGUUCUUGGUGUUUGCUUCCUGCCAUUCAAAUGCUCUCAUUUGGCUCACCCAGGAGAGGACCAGACAACGGGAGGGAAAGUGGAAGGAAGGAGUAUGUGGUCAAGAGUGAAGAAAGACUUUAAGGGAACUGGAACUUUCUUCAGGGACUAUCUAACCCUAUCCUGUGAUAAACAGCUGUACCUCAACAACAGAGGGAUUCCUUUGAGCUGUCAAACCGAUUAUUAUCAGUUCAAUGAAAACACCCUACUGAAGUGACUACAUGGCUUCUAACGCUCCAAAUUCCUUAUUUAGAGUUACCUAAAGUGUGUUGAAUAGGAUAGGACUUAAGAUCUUGUUCUGUGUGUUUGCUCCUUCUGCUGCAGACACAUAGUACAGAAGCAUUCUCAGCUUCAGCAAGAUUCUGUGAGAGGUUUCAGUACACAUUUAUCAGACAGUGGAAGUCUGACAGAGCACAGUACAAGCAAUUGGACUAAAAUACAACUCUCAGAAGAGGUUGCUCUACAGACCAGCUUGUCUCUGAAUCAAACCUAGAUGUUUUCCCUGUGUGUAAUGGCACUGUGUGUAUUCAGUAUAAAAGCUUAAAAUAUCUGCCAAACAUAAAUGAUAUCUGGAGAUGUGUCAGACAGGAUGCUUGACCAGAUCUGGUCAGAAACCAAAAGAAGAACACAAGGAUCCAAUCAUCAGAACUAACACAGACUUCUUUAGUUUUAAAAUACAUAUAAAAAAAUGUUUACCAGUUUCAUUGGAGCUAGACUAGCAGCUGUAAGUUACUGUUUCAUGUAAGAUUAAACGGCAUCUUUCUAGUAAAGAGAAAACACAGUUUGUUUUAGUACAAGCACUGUAAACACAGUCCACUAAUAGCAGAGAAUUCUUCACUGAUUGUGGACAUGAUUUCUUAAUCUGAGAGAAUUUCAAGCUCUCAGGGACUGGCUGUUCCCAAGGGUAAGUCUUGGGAACCUUCUCUCACUCAAGGAUUAUUUGUGUAAAUAAGGAAUUACUCUCCCAAAACAAGACACAGAUGUUCUGAGAGUGUUGUCUCUCUUGUCCCACCAAUGGGAUGAGGGAGGUGUUGUUCAUUCUACCAGUCAGGAUUACCUGACCAGAAUGGCUUAUAAAAGGGUUGACAAGACCCCACAAUAAAGGUUUUUUUCACCUCACAAAAAGUGGCUGUGUGUAUGAUUAUCUUGGAAACCUCAAAAUACUUUGUGUCCUCUAGUGACAACUGAUCAGUGCAAAUCCAAGAGGAUUUAUGUCUUCUUUGCAAAGGUAUAAAAGGGGCUAAGAUACCACUUAACGGUCCUAGCUGCUGAGCCACAAUCACUGGCAGCAGAGCUUUGAUAACAAUGUGGGUGCCAUGGGGCUGUCACUGGGGUGCACUGGAAUAUGCUAAAAAAGAAUCAGGAUGGGACCAUGGGGGUUAAAGGUGAGUGUGAUACAGGGAAGAUGAAGAGCCCCUGGUGUCGAUUAACACAAUGUACCAUAGAUCCAUCGCUCUAAUGCAUUGUCUGGCUUUUACCUCGCAGCCUGAAGCCAAAUCAAUUUCAACAGUUUGUGCUGGACAGACACCAAUUACAAAUUACCUCUUUCCUGCUGCUUAACAGGGCUACAAAAAAUGGUUUAAAAUUACUCUCUAAGACCUACCCACAUGACUUUUAGAGCAGAAACCAACGUAACUUAAAUGAUCAAAAACUGUUUCUAUUUCAAGGUGAAAUGUCUUGGAAAUUCAUGGAAAAGAAAAAUCCAUGCUAAAAUUAAUCCAGAAAUAGAAAUGUUUUCUGGUCACUGUAAGGAACUUAACUGGAUUUGCAAUCAUAAAAAAGAAUCAA